GCCAGCACCGAGGCGACACCACCGGGCCACCGCUGCUCGGCUGCCACCAGCUUUGCAAGUUUUGUUAUUCCUGUCCCCAAAGCCCGUCGAAGAGGUUAUCAAUUGCCGUAGUCGCUGCUCCGAGUUACAACAGCUUAUACCUACAGCGUUGCAGUCGUCGCGGUAGUUUAUGUAACUAUUAUUCAUACGUUUAUCGAUCGACUUCACUCGUUGUCCUCUUCACAUCCACCACCCAACACGUAGUGCAGUGAACUUACUAUCCAUUCCAUUGCUAAUACAAAACGCGAAUACAUCCUCUGAACGUGAGUAAUGAUUUGUAAAUAUAAUAUUUAUUUGAUUAUAAAUACUUAAAUAAUAUUUAUGUAUUAAGAGCAUUAGUAUAAUAUUAUUAUUAUGUGUAUUACCUACAGCCUAUUGACAUUCAACAAUUAGUCAUUAUUAAUUAAUACACAGGGUUGUGAAUUAAAUGUAUUUACCAAUAAACCUUUAUAACUACUUUAAAAUAUUUUAAACGAUUCGUUGUUACAUAAUUCGGACUUGGUAUAGGUAUUAAGAAAGCAACUGUAUUAUACUUGCAAUACAUUGAAAAAAAAAAUGCAUUUAUUACAAAUUCACAACUUUAGUAAUAAUAUUAUACAUUGGUUCGUUUAAUUGGUAGGUAUAUUUAAGCGAACAAAUAACGUUUUUAACUCUGGGAGAGUGCUAUUUUGCAGAAGUACACAUAGUUUGACGAGUAAAAAUAAAAAAAUAAUACUUUUGAGCAAAACAAACAUGUAUUGAGCGAAAAAACCUCUUUGGUUACCAAUAAACAUAUUUUUUUUUAAGGGGGGCGGGCUUAGUCCUCCCAACCACCCCGUUAUUUGUGCUUUGAGCAUAUAUAUAUAUAACUUGGGUGGUCAAACGGGAGAAGGGGAAAGGGAUCCCUUAUGACCUUUUGACCUUCAACAGUCGGCUGUUUAUAUAGAUACUAAAUGUUCAAGAGAGGUUUUAAAUUAAAUCAUCUAAUAUUGUUAUUACAAACAUAAUUAGCAUUUAUUUUGAAAAUAAUAUUUAAAAAGUGGGUUGAACUCCCAAACCCUUAAUCAAGUAUCAAUACAAUUGAAAUACCCGAUAAAUCGAUAGUACCAAUACUAUAAAUUAUUCGAUAAGUCGAUUUUUUAUUAUUUGAAACAUCGAUAUUAUCGAUCGUAUAUUUCAUGUAUAGCAUACAUUGUAUACCAUGUAUUAUAUUGUAUCGAUUAACCGACUAAUGCAAUAUAUUAUAGCGCAGGCUAUAUACUAUAUUUAUUUUAAAAAAAAAAUAAUAAUUAAAUUAUAACUGUUUUUACAUAUUAUAUUUAAAUAGUUUUAGUUAGUUAGAUAAAGAUAUAUUUUAUUUAAAAAUAAAUUUCAAUUGUUCCUGUUCUAGACAAAUUUUAAGGAAUUGUAAAAUUGUUAUCCAUAUAAAAGAAAAAAUAAAAAAACUCGACAAUUUCAAAUAGCUAUUCAAAACUAUAUUGAUUCAAAAAUAUUUUCAUUUUGUUAAAUAAUAUUUGUACUGUAAUUUAUAAUAAUAUCAGUUAUUAAGUAUUUAUGAAUUAAUAUUUCUAAUAUAAUAUAAUCAUUUAUAUUAUAUGUAUUGUCAGAAAAAUUGCUACAUUUGAUACAUUGGAAAAAGGUUUCUGGUAGAAAUUUCGUAAAAAAAAUAAAAUAAACAUCAUUAUAAUACGAUAUAUUCCUUGCUUCACUCCGGGUCUAAAAUACAAGGAUUUGUAUACUGGUAUUUUAUUUCUUUUAUAUCUUUCAACACACAACCUACACACAUUUACGCAGUAUAACAAUAUUUAUAAAAUGUUUUCUUUAAUCAGUCCGAUAUAAUAUGUAAUGAAACUUUAAGAAUUCCUACAGUAGGUUUACAUUCAACUAUUCAGUGUGAAAUGUUCUAUAUUUCGAUUUUUCGCUACAGCUUAAUUUUUAAAAUUUGGGUUGAAAAUUUAUAUGAAAAAAAAAAAACUAAAAUUAAAUUUAAAAAAAUGGCCUGCCCGAUGUCAUUUAUAUUUCACGCUGAAUACAAAUCUGUUUUUAGAAUUGCUUCGCUACAUCGAUCUGAUUGAUUGAAAAUUAGUCUACAUAAUGUUGCUAUGUUGAAUAGUGCGUUAGAUAAAGAAAAAAAAAUAUAUAUUCGGCGCCCAAUCCGCACUGCGUAUUUUAAUGUUUGGCAUUUCAUUUAAAUUUGGCAAACUUUAAGUACCUAUACUCUAAUGCAAUGUUAGGUAAUGUAAUGUAAUGAUGUGUUAUGAAAUAUACGGUGUUGUAGAUAAAUAGGCAUGGCCUAGGUAUAGGUACUCCACAUCAUUUAUCGAUACAAAUAUACAAUCCGAUUUACACGAUUUCGUUAUGCCCAAGUAUUUAAACGAUGCUUCGAUACAUUUUAUAAACAUACAAUAUUUCAUAAGUGGUUUGUGUGCUUUAUUGUUAAUCGUUAAGUUUGUUGUUCAAAACAAACAGGUACUUUUGUGUUAUAUUUCAUCAACAAUUUGGAAUACUUAUAUGUAUUUUUGUUUUUUUUUUUUUUUUAAAUAAUGGGUACUUAUUGUUUUUUCAUAUAUUUAUAGAAUUGACAUUCAUGUUUUAACAUCGUAUUUGUGCACCGUAACAAAUAUUUAUUAAUUUUCGUAUUUUGCGUUUUAUGUUUUGAUGUUACCGGUGUUAUUAUAAUAAUUAUAUAUAUUUCAGGUUAAAAUGUCUGACCAUCCAAACGACGUAGAAAUGGAAGAAAUAGAAGGAACUGCAAUGGCUGUGGAACCUUCGGAACCAACCGUUUCUAAUGUGGGAAAAACAAAUCUGAUCGACAUAUCAAAAGUCGGUAUCUACAGCGAUGACGAAACCGGGUCUACCGUGACUAUCGGCGAAGUCGGCAUUGACGAAUAUUUUGACGAAACGUUUUGUGACGAUAGUGUAGUGGACACUACCGAUUACAGGGAGGCCGAAGCUGCUGCUGCGGCCAAUUUGUUACCAGUUCUUAUUAAUAUGAUCGGGAAUGGCGAUAGCGCGUCUAGAGAUUCAUCUGGGGAAGCAUCUGGGGAAGCAUCUGGGGAAGCGUCCGGGGAAGCAUCAGGAGAAUCGUCCGGAGAAGCAUCUGAGGAAGUGUCUGGGGAAGCAUCUGAUAGAGCGCUUGAGGAAGAAUCUAGGGAAGCAUCUCCGGAUUACCAAGAUAAGCUUACGGAUGUUGACGAAUCGGCGAAUACUUCAAUAGAGAAUUCUGACGAUGAACAGCCGACCGCCAGUACAUCUACGACUGGUAGACGUCCACGUAAGUGAUAAUUUGUUAUGACGUAUCUCGGUGUGGUCCUCCGACUUUUUAUUGCUACCGAUUUUUAAAUUUUCAUAAUAUUAAAAACAACUAAUACAUGUAUUAAUUGUUUUUAAUAUAUAUAUAUAUAUAUAUACAGGUUGUCCCACGAAGAUAUUCCUAUCCAUUGUAAUAUUUCUAGAGAUAAUAAAUUAUAUUUUUUUUUAUGUUAGUCAUAGGGAUAAGGACUACAAUUAUUUACAUUUUAAUUAAUUUUUUAUAUUUUCGUGAAAAACUUAAAAAUAUAACUUUUUGUUUUAUAAUUUUUUAAGAAUUUUAAGAUGGCCAUUUUAUGCAAUUAAUAUAAAAAAUAGAAUUUGAUUUAUCUUUAUUAACUCAAGAGAUAUUUAAAGCCAAUUAAAGCCACGACACUAGGAUAUUUUUUUUGUACUCAUAAAUCAAUUAUUUUUGAAUGUUGUUUAAAAAUAAAAAAAAUAAAAUAUUUUUCAAAAUUACCAGUAAAAUAGGUAAGCCACACAAAAACCAUCGUGAACCCCGAGCUUUAGACCACACUGUAUUAUUUAAUCAUAUAACCAAUGGCGCGAGUUGGGGGUUUGGGGGUUAUGUUUCCCUCCCCCCAUCGACCAUUGGCCAAUAUAUAACUGGGUAUUUAUUCAAUAAUUUGUCUUGAAAUAUAUACAUAUUUCAUCAUAUUUUAACUACCUUAUAAAAGAUAAAACUUCAUUUAUUGAACAAAAAUUGGUUUUCUUCAAAACCGGAUUGUAAUUAGAUGAAUUAUGAUUAUUGUUUACUAAAUCCUCUUCUGUUGAAAAUUUCUGCGCAUGCCACUGUAUGUAAUGUUAUAUAAGCUAAUAUUUUGUUUUGUCUUCAUGAAAUUUAGUGUGCGUAGUUAUACCGAGAGAAGCAGCUAUAGCCGCAUCGCAGGCUAUAGUCGAUGUUAUUCCGAAGAAGAAACAACCAGGUGACAACGAUCGUCCAGAACGAACAGUUCUAGUACGUGGGUAUAUUGUAAGUUGAUAAAUUAUUUAUUAUAUUUUUAAAAUUAUGUUAUUAUAAUUAUUGGAUUUGGUAUUGGGAGUGCUGUCAUUUAGGGGAACUUGGGUAUAACUUGGAAAUUUGCAUCAGUCUAAUUUUAUCUGUAUUGCGUUAAGUCGACAUUUUGGUUUUGGGGGAAAAAAAUUCUAAAAUACCGAAAAAUGCUUAGUUUUAUACCUACAUUUUGCUUUUGUUUCGUAUGUCCUCAAAAAUAAUUAAUCCACGGUAAAAUUUUCAAUUUUCCUACUUUCCAAUCGACUUUUAACUUUUAAAAUAAAAUACAAAAUUUAAAUGCCAUGAAAAUAAUAUAUCUAUAUUUGUUUGUAUGAACGAAAAUCUGAAAUAUCUAUUGAAAAAAUGACAAUACUCGAGCGAAAUUAAAUAACUUUCAGUUAAUCGCAAAUUUGGUUCACCUUAUAAAUGUAUCAAUUAUCGAAAUGAAGCCAAAAUGUUUAUAAAAUUGUACCCCAUCAAGAAAAGAUUAAUUAUUUGAUGAAAAUGUUAGCUUUUUAUGAUUAUUUUUAAUUGAAUUACAAAACAAAUCGAAAAAUCUAAAAUACAGCAACCGUUGUUGCGUAAACAUCUUCGUUUUUCUAACAUGUUGUUUUUCGAUUACUACGAAAACCAUUAGGGAAAAAAAAUUAUCUUCUCAAUGCAGUGACUAGAAAAAAAUGAGUAGAUAUAUAAUUAUAAUACACUUACCUAAAUGCCUAAUAUUAAUCGAUAAAUUGUUUUUUUUUUUCAGGAUGCUAAUCAAAGUAUACGCAAAUCGUGCCAGGAUUAUGGUUUAAAUUUGCCAGAAGCAGCAUAUGACGCCAUUAAUUUGGACGAACAUUUGAUUAGAAAUUGCUACGUUAGUUUUUAUAUUUUGAAUUGUGUGCGCGUAUAGCAUGUAACAUGUAUACAUAAUUGUUUUCAUUUUGUAAUUACAGAUGUCCAUUUUACCAGCUAAAAUUUCAAUUCACGAUAUUUUGGAUGAAUAUGUUAAAGAGAGAAAGGCGUAAGUAAAAUAAUAAUAAUAAUAAUGAAUAUUUAUAACAUAAAUUUAGACAUACACCUAAUAAUAUUGUAAUAAAGUUUAAAUUUUCCUGUCUUCAAUGUAUUAUUUUAAAUAUUAUAAUCAACUUAAUAUUAUUAUUAAGUAUUAUGAUAUCCAAAAUUAACAUGACAAUAUAAAAUUUAUAAAUAAUUUCAGUUUUUACACUCAAUUGUAUUUUACACUCUUUAACAUCUACUUAUUUAUAGAAAUCUAUUACGUAGAUAAAUAUAAACAUAUUAUAAAUUACUUAAAUAUUAUAGAAAAUUAUUUAUUCGAAUAAAUUGAUAAGUCAAAUAUAGGAUGAAUUUUUUAGAGUUGAAUUUGUUUUAUGUUUUUUAGAAUAGAUUAGUCCUACUUAAUAACUUCCCAUAAUUUUUUAAUGUUUUAUUAUUGAUAAUCAUAUUUUGUUUUAAUUUUUAAUUUCAGUAACGUAGACAUGUUUCAUUUCCUACUUGUGGCUUUUGAUGAAGUUUUACCCAUAUGGUGUCUACGUCGUAUCGAACAAUUACAACAUGAAGAAGUAAUUAUUUAUAAAGAUAUUUUAUUUUAUUAUUAAACUUUUAAUUUUGUUCAGUUUUCCAUGGCUAGUAUUAAUUAUAAAAGUUGUGUAAUCCGAGGGGUUUAUAUAGAAACAUUUUUGAAAAUAAUAUUAUUGUUGCCUAUAAUUUCAAUAAUAAAGAAACGCAUAUGUUAUUAUGUUAUCUGUACUGAAAUUCUAAAUUUUAACAUAAAUUGUUGUAUACAAUAAUGCAAUUUAAAAAACCAUUUUUGUAUAAUAUUGAACAGUUUUAACUCUUUAAUUUUUUUUUUUUUAUUAACAUCAAAUUUAAAAUUGUGUUUUGUAGAUUUCCAAGAAAUUUCCUGGUCGUCGUAUGUGUACAAUUUACGGUUUGAUUCAUUUCUUGAGAUACACAAGUAAGUAUUUACAUAAAUAAUCAUUUGCACUUUAUUUAUUUUACAAUUAUAAACUUUAUUAUAAUUAUCAUAAAUACUCAAUUGUAUUCUACCACUGUAGUUAAGCUUUAAAAAUCAAAAAUAUGUAUUUUUUACAAAAUUAAUAAUGUUUUUAUGUAACAAAUUUUAAAUUUUAUAAUAAUUGAUUUUCUAGUGUUUUUUUUUUACUAAAUAAUACAAAAUAAAGUUAAUAGAUUUAUUUAUUUAUAUAUAUAUGUUAGCGGUAAUUUAUGUAACACGUUAUUUUAUUAAAUAACUAGUUAUUCUAUAAAAUUUAUAAUAUGCUCGUUAAUAUAUAAAUUACACGGUUUUACUAGUUAAUUUAUAGAAUACCAAUUGGGUUUUUGCUAAUUUACAUAAUUUAAGCCAUCGCGUAUAACCGAGACUGGAGUAAGUAACACACAAUAUUUGUUGCGUUAUCGUUUUAUGUAUCCCAAUCCUAAUCACAAGAGUUAAUUUAUAUAUAUACAAUAUAUGUAUAUUAUAAAUCAAGGGUUUUUCAAAUUAUUAGUUUUUUAUAGACUUACUGAAUUCCAUACUUUAACGUUAACAUAUAUAUGUUCACACAACUAAAACAAUUUAGUUAUAAAUAGUUAAAUAAUUGAAUAUCAUUAGUAUUUUUUUUAUGAAGAAGUAUAGGUUGAUAUUAUCUUAGAGAUUAUAUCACGAAUAAUAGUUCUAAACUCUUAAUAUAUAAUACUAAUUAGCAAAUAUAAAUAAAUUAUUCAAAUAAAUUGUAUUCGUGUAUUACAGAAAUGAGUAUUAAACAAUUUCUUUAUUUAUCCUAUAGUGUAUCUUCCCAGAUUGUUCAGUAGAUUGGAGUUUACCAGAGUUGUUGAACGUGAAGCUAAAAUUCAUCCCGUUGUCGAAUUCUUGAACGGAUUUUUCGAGUAAGUAUUUAGUUAAUAUUUUAUGUUCCAUACCCACAUGAUUUGAUGGCAUUAAAAUCAUCUAUUAAAUAUGUUCUGUUAAUUUUCAUAUCACCCCUCAAUAAAACAUUAAUAUUGAAUUCAAUAUUAUACCAUAAAAUAAUAAUAUUAAAAACUGCAAAUAAUAAUAAUAGUGGUAGUAAUAAUAAUAGAGAAUUAUAUCUCAAAUUUGUAAUAUUUUUUACUCUUGUCUAACAUCUGCUGACUUGCACUCAGCCAUUUAAGUAUCCAAGACCUGAUUUAUUGACUAAAUUGUCUUCAUUGUUAUGCAGUCCUUAACCAACACUAAUUCCUUAAACAGUUGAACUGACUUUUGUCAGAUGCUUAAAACCCAUAUGGGCAGAAUGUGGUUAAAUUAAUAGAUUAAUCUGCCUCCUAAUUUUGUCAUCUAGUAUAAGAAUACUAUAUCGUCCUAGCCUUGAUUCCACUAUUUAAAACUUGUAGGAAAGCAAUUUCCUUUUUUUCUUAAGAAUAGGCCACACUCCCAUCCCAUUCCUAUAAGUUAUCUCUUAAUACUUUAUCUUUAUGCACUCUCCAUACUUCCAAAUCUAUUUGCGAUAAAUCCCACAUUCUUUUUCAUUGCUCUUUUUUAUCUCUCAACGGAAUAAUAUCUGCUUUAAAAAAUGCCCGCUAUGAAUCUUUUAAUGUUUCAUUUUAUUUAUUAAUCAUAGUUUCAAUAAAAAAAACCCAUAUUGAAUACUAAACAAUUUUAACGCGAUUUUCCGUAUUAUAAAAAUAAAAUAUUUAAUAUAUUUACUGUGGUAAUGGUGGACACCUUUAUAAUCUGAUAUCGACUUAGAUAAUUUGAGUUGUCAAACAAAUUCGUUUAUUACAGGUAUAUGGUUGAUCAUGGAUUACAUAUUGACGUUGCCCUAGAUUAUGACAUAAUGUUGUCUUCGGAAUAUCAAAAGGCUUAUGAAGUCUUGUUAAAAAAUUAUCCCACCGAGCCUAGUAUAGUUAUUGAAUAAUCACAUUAAUUAAAAAAUGUAUUCCGUUCUGUAUCUAUUCUAUUUGAAUUUUUCUCUCAAAAUACCUACCUAUUUGUUAUACAGUCAAUUUAUUACUAUUAUUGUUUAUUAUAUAACUCAACUCUUAUUAUCUAUACUUAUUUUAAUUCUUAACUUUUUUUCAAUAAUACCACUUACAUUCCUAUUUUUUUCUAUUUUAAAUUUAUAAUAAAAAUUAUAAAUGCUUAUUUCUAUACUUACCUAUAUUAUUAUUUAAUUUUUAAUAUUGUUUUACAACUGUCAUUUCCUUAUUCGUCUUCUAAAGUUACCCAACUUAUUUUGCUCAAUUCUAUUUUUAUUGUCAAUGACUUUUUACCCUUCUUUCAAUAUUAUUUUUGAACAAUUUUAGUAAUUUUGAUUUUUUAUUUAUUUAUUUUUUUAUUUAUUAAAUAUUCAUUGAUUAUUGUUAUAACACUCCAUUUAUAGAACAUAGAAUACCAACAGAAAUAAAAUAAGUUAUUAUUAUUAUUAUAUUUUAGUUAUACCCAAAAUCCCAUAUUCGUUUUAACACUUUGUUCACCAUAAAUAAAAUAUGGUUUCGGAGAUCACUGCUUCAAAAUUAUUAGCUUUAUAUUUAGUAGUAGUAGAAAUAUAGUAUAUCUAAUAUAAGGUGUCCCUCGAUAAUAUAUCCAUUGUAAUAUCUUUAAUUACAAAACAAAAUACUUUAAAUACUUUGUAUUUUUAAAAAACUUCAAAGAUAAUUAUAUUUUAUUAUUCUUUUGAAAAUUUGAAUGUGUUUUAUAUGAGCUUUUUAUUUUUAGUAUAUUCCUGAUUUUUAAUAAUUUUUUAAUGUUCAGAGAAAAAAAGCAUAUAGUCAAUUAACCAUAAUAAUAAUCAAUUAGUGAAUGCGAUAAAAGUCUGUUGCAUAAAAAUUAUAGGUAUCUACUAAUUUUAAAUAAUUGUUCAAUAUCACAAACUUAAUGAACAUAAAAGUUGAAACGUCAACAUUUUUAGAAGAAUAAAUUCUAUAAAAUAGCUAGUUAUCUUCUAAGUUUUCGAAAAUAAUAAAAUAAAGUUAGUUUUUUAGUUUUUUUACCAAAACAUACAAAUUUAAAUACAAAUUGUAAAUAUUUGUAGUCCUUAUCCCUGCGAGUAACACACAACAGACUUUGAUUAUCUUUAUUAUCUCAGGAGAUAUUGCAAUGGGUACAUCUUUGCGGGACACCUUGCAUAUUAUUAUUAUAUUAUAAUAUAACAUAUUUUUAUUAUAUUAAUUAUUAUUAUCCAAUCGAAUCUGUGGCGUAAACUGGCCUUAUUGUGGUGGGCUAGAUAAAUUCUAGAUGUUCUAUCGGCGAUAAAUAUAAUUAUACUGUUAUAAAUAGUUUUAUAUUGUCUGGGUAUUUUAUUUAUGACGGCGAAUGCGAUGUGCCAAUUUACGCUACCUACCGAAUAGAAAAUUAAUUUAUACUAUUAUAUUAUUACAUUGUAUUAAGUUUUGUCUGUCUGUAGAUUGUGUUUAAUAAUAUUAUAAUAUAUUAAGCAGUAUAGAUUUAUAAAAUACGCAGUCUUAGUAUUAUAAUGUGUAGUGCGUUUAGUAAUUUAUCUCUUCUAUAACAAUAUUAUAAGUGUUAUACAUAAUAUUUAUAACAGUAUAACACUUCUAUCUAAAAUUUAAUUAAUUCAAAAAAAAGUUUUGUGUGAAAAAUGUAUUCUAAGUAUAUUAUUAUAUUAUCUGUAGUCGAAUAUAGCUGACGUCUCCAAUUUUAUUAUUAUCAUUAUUAUUAUAUUCAAUUUAUAUAAACGUUAAUAAGUUUUACAUUUUAUUAAAUAUUAAAUACUUAUCUACAAUUAUUCUAUACUUUUAAUGCUAUUUUAGUAUACAUACGAGUUAGUAAAGCAUGUUUUUAUAACACUUUUAUGUCACUAUAAGUUUUGCGGCGGGUGUAGCCUAUUAUUUUACGCGGUUUCAAGUAUAUAAGUAUUCUAUAAUAUAUUAUAUCGCUCUAAAAAUAAUAUGCAAUAUAAAAAACAAUAAUAAAAUCGGAAAUUCUGGAUAAAAUUAUACAUCAAUAAUCGAAUGCAAUACCAAACGCUGCUUUAUACUGUAAGGAUUUUGAGGCUGCAACCGUACAAUAUCGCUUUUUAAUAAAUUCAAGGGAAGCCGGCCCUUAACGACGAGGGGAUGAAGGCAAUUUAUUGCUUCUAUAAGUUGGCUGGUUAGAUUUAAAAACAUAUAGUACAUAAACAAAGUUAUACAUUUGUUUCCCCCUCCGGAUUCUGCAUUACAAAUAUAUUAGUUAAUAUACUAUUAUUAUUAUUUAUACAUGAUUAAUUGUACGUAGAUUUCGAUAUUUUAAAAUAAAUUAAUAAUUAUUGUGACAGGCGAUACCGGACACGUUUCAAUUUCUAUGCAUGAAAUGACUUAUUUUUUAUAAACGUAUUAAAUAUAACUAAAAAGAAAAGAAAAGAUAAAGAUCGAUAUUAUCACAUCAUAUAUAGGUAUUGAGAGUAUCUAUGUAAUAACGAGUGAUAAAUUUGAACGAUAAAAUAUUUUAAACGAUAUGCAUAAUAACAUGUUUAAAAGAAAAUCUUGAUUUUUGAUUAACGAUCCAAACCUAUAAUAUCUACGCGUUUAAAAAAUAAGAUUAUUUUAAAGAUACCGCACUAUCGCCUGUCUGUUUUAGAAAACUUAUAAUUAUAUUCAUUUAUUAUAACACAUAUUACGAGUUUUAUAUUAGUUUAUAUUAAAAUCAUUAAUACUUGCUAAGUAUAUACAUUAAUAUUUAUUAAAAAAUUAUUAAAUUACUCUAUUAUAUUUAUAUCUAUAUGUUGACAUAUUUGAUGUAUUAAUAUUAACUAUAAAUAAAAUAAAUAUCAUUCUUUUUAAACCACAUUUCCAAUAGUAUUUAAUUUUAUUUUCAAUUUUAAAACUCAAAACUCAAAUAUUUAACCCAUUUUCUAGGGGCGUAAUAUUUUGAUAACUAGGAUUUAAAACUGUACCUACGAUGAAAUAUCUAGUUUUUGGAUAAUAGUAUGCGAGCAUUGGAAAGCAAUCUUACAGAAGUGCAGUAGAAAUUUUGGAUAAAAUUGGAUUGAAAAUAAGUUACGGAACCAAAACGUAGACUAUUAGAGUUGAUAUAUUUGAAAAUGACGAUGUAAAAAUAGAGGUCGCCCAUCGUGGAGGAUGAACUCGGAGUUCAAAUUACAAACCAAAUUGAGUAUCAAACUUCGAUUAACGUAUUACGAAUUCCGACCGAUUUCGAACUGAACAUUGGUUAUCAUCUGCCGGGUCGUGGUAGACACUAUAAAGGUAAUUUUGAUUGUUUUAACUUUUAAGGGGUAAUUUAAUUGUAAGUUUCUUUCAGUUUUAUAUGAAAAAGGUACUAAAUAAGUUGAUUUAAUUCCUUUAUAAUUUCUUACGAUAUACCUACCACGUUUAUUAAUGAAACUCAAUGUUUAAAGUUAUUGGAAGUUUAAAACUAACGGUACUUUGUAAUGUGUGUAGUAAUUAAUUUUUAUUUUAAAUUUUACUUAUAGGUUUUGAAUAUUGAUGUACACUGUUUGAAAAAAAUUGACAGUUUCGGCUUUGGUAAGUUAUGAGUAUGCUUAUAAUUUGUAUUAUUGCGAAGGAAAAUUCUAAAUUCGUAUGUUUUUUAUAGGUAAUAAGACGGCGAAGUGUCACAAUAAUAUUUGCCGUAUCAAUAUAUUUAACGGGUAAUAUGACAAAAAUAUUUUUUGUACUUUUAAUAGUACACAGGAUCUAAUACUAUUUAAAAAAAAAUUGUUU